rnacentral:rRNA from 1 species
GACGAACGCUGGCGGGAUGCCUUACACAUGCAAGUCGAACGGAGUGGCGAACGGGUGAGUAAUGUAUCGGAACGUGCCCAGUAGCGGGGGAUAACUACGCGAAAGCGUAGCUAAUACCGCAUACUCUUGGAGCGGCCGAUAUCGGAUUAGCUAGGUGGUGGGGUAACGGCUCACCAAGGCGACGGUCCGUAGCUGGUUUGAGAGGACGACCAGCCCAACUGGGCCGGAGAAACGGCCCAGACUCCUACGGGAGGCAGCGGUGGGGAAUUUUGGAAAAUGGGGGAAACCCUGAUCCAGCCAUCCCGCGUGUGCGAUGAAGGCUUGCGGGUUGUAAAGCACUUUUGGCAGGAAAGCGGUACCUGCAGAAUAAGCACCGGCUAACUACGUGCCAGCAGCCGCGGUAAUUC